AUUGAACGCUGGCGGAAUGCUUUACACAUGCAAGUCGAACGAUGAACCUUAGCUUGCUAGGGGGAUUAGUGGCGAACGGGUGAGUAAUAUAUCGGAACGUACCUUGUAAUGGGGGAUAACUAGUCGAAAGAUUAGCUAAUACCGCAUACGCCCUGAGGGGGAAAGUAGGGGAUCUUCGGACCUUACGUUAUAAGAGCGGCCGAUAUCUGAUUAGCUAGUUGGUGGGGUAAUGGCCUACCAAGGCGACGAUCAGUAGCUGGUCUGAGAGGACGACCAGCCACACUGGAACUGAGACACGGUCCAGACUCCUACGGGAGGCAGCAGUGGGGAAUUUUGGACAAUGGACGCAAGCCUGAUCCAGCCAUUCCGCGUGAGUGAAGAAGGCCUUCGGGUUGUAAAGCUCUUUCGCAAGGGAAGAAAACUUACACAAUAACACUGUGUGAGGCUGACGGUACCUUGAUAAGAAGCACCGGCUAACUACGUGCCAGCAGCCGCGGUAAUACGUAGGGUGCGAGCGUUAAUCGGAAUUACUGGGCGUAAAGCGUGCGCAGGCGGUUUUGUAAGUCAGAUGUGAAAUCCCCGAGCUCAACUUGGGAACUGCGUUUGAAACUACAAGACUAGAAUAUGUCAGAGGGGGGUAGAAUUCCACGUGUAGCAGUGAAAUGCGUAGAGAUGUGGAGGAAUACCAAUGGCGAAGGCAGCCCCCUGGGAUAAUAUUGACGCUCAUGCACGAAAGCGUGGGGAGCAAACAGG
rnacentral:rRNA from 1 species